UGGCAGUGCAGUACUAGCUGGCU
rnacentral:miRNA from 1 species